rnacentral:sRNA from 1 species
GCCAGGCAUGAUGGCGCAUGCCUGUAAUCCCAGCAGCUCGGGAGGCUGAGGCAGGAGGAUCCAGAGUUCAAAGCCAGCCUCAGCAAUGGUGAGGCACUAAGCAACCCAGUGAAACCCUGUCUCUA